GCUUGUGCUGCAUUCCCAGGCUGCGUGUUGCUGACGGCGCUCCUGAUGCUGUUGCGUUCUUCUCCAGGAGGAUUAGACACUUCCUGAGUUACAUGUUGUCGGCCACGAGGAGGGUUGUUUGCAUCUGAAUACUCUCAUGUUCAGAACGAGCAAUGAGAUGGGAGACUCUAUCAGAACUGGCCACUAAUUAAC